GAAUAACUUUUAUUAGAA
rnacentral:tRNA from 2 species